UAUUGGUCAAUGGGCGCUAGCCUGAACCAGCCAAGUAGCGUGAAUGACGACUGCCCUAUGGGUUGUAAACUUCUUUUCUAUGGGAAUAAAGUGCAGUAUGUAUACUGCUUUGCAUGUACCUUCUGAACAAGGAUCGGCUAACUCCGUUCCAGCAGCCGCGGUAAUACGGAGGAUCCGAGCGUUAUCCGGAUUUAUUGGGUUUAACGGGAGCGUAGGCGGGUUGUUAAGUCAGUUGUGAAAGUUUGCGGCUCAACCGUAAGAUUGCAGUUGAUACUGGCAUCCUUGAGUACAGUAGAGGUAGGCGGAAUUCGUGGUGUAGCGGUGAAAUGCUUAGAUAUCACGAAGAACUCCGAUUGCGAAGGCAGCCUGCUGGACUGUAACUGACGCUGAUGCUCGAAAGUGUGGGUAUCAAACAGG
rnacentral:rRNA from 1 species